rnacentral:rRNA from 1 species
AGAGUUUGAUCCUGGCUCAGAAUCAACGCUGGCGGCGUGCCUAACACAUGCAAGUCGAACGCGAAAGUCCCGCAAGGGGCAAGUAGAGUGGCGCACGGGUGAGUAACACGUGGAUAACCUGCCUUGGAGUGGGGAAUAACCUUCCGAAAGGGGGGCUAAUACCGCAUAACACCUCGGGACAAAAGUCCUGGGGUUGAAAGGAGCAAUUCGCUCCAAGAGGGGUCCGCGCCUGAUUAGCUAGUUGGUGGGGUAAUGGCCCACCAAGGCUUCGAUCAGUAGCCGUCCUGAGAGGGAGCACGGCCACACUGGAACUGAGACACGGUCCAGACUCCUACGGGAGGCAGCAGUGGGGAAUUUUUGGCAAUGGGCGAAAGCCUGACCAAGCAACGCCGCGUGGGUGAUGAAGUAUCUUGGUACGUAAAACCCUUUCGGCAGGGACGAACUCAAUGACGGUACCUGCAGAAGAAGCCCCGGCUAACUCCGUGCCAGCAGCCGCGGUA